rnacentral:rRNA from 1 species
GACGAACGCUGGCGGCGUGCCUAAUACAUGCAAGUCGAACGCAUUUUCUUUCACCGUAGCUUGCUACACCGAAAGAAAAUGAGUGGCGAACGGGUGAGUCACACGUGGGUAACCUGCCCAUCAGCGGGGGAUAACACUUGGUAACAGGUGCUAAUACCGCAUAAUUCCAUUUACCGCAUGGUAAAUGGAUGAAAGGCGCUUUUGCGUCACUGAUGGAUGGUCCCGCGGUGCAUUAGCUAGGUGGGGGGGUAACGGGCUACCAAGUCUGGGAUGCAUAGCCGGCCUGAGAGGGGGGUCGGCCACAAUGGGACUGAGACACGGCCCAGAACCCUACGGGAGGGAGCAGGAGGGAAUCUUCGGAAAUGGACGCAAGGCUGACCGAGCAACGCCGCGUGAGUGAAGAAGGUUUUCGGAUCGUAAAACUCUGUUGUUAGAGAAGAACAAGGAUGAGAGUGGAAAGUUCAGCCCUUGACGGUAUCUAACCAGAAAGCCACGGCUAACUACGUG